GCAUCGGUGGUUCAGUGGUAGAAUGCUCGCCUGUUACGCCUGCGCCCCGGGUUCGAUUCCUGGCAGAUGCA
rnacentral:tRNA from 1 species